rnacentral:rRNA from 1 species
GCUCAACCGAGGAAGUGCUUCGAAGACUGGUAAACUUGAGUGCAGAAGAGGAAAGUGGAACUCCAUGUGUAGCGGUGGAAUGCGUAGAUAUAUGGAAGAACACCAGUGGCGAAGGCGGCUUUCUGGUCUGUAACUGACGCUGAGAUUCGAAAGCAUGGGUAGCAAACAGGAUUAGAUACCCUGGUAGUCCAUGCCGUAAACGAUGAGUGCUAAGUGUUGGAGGGUUUCCGUCCUUCAGUGCUGCAGCUAACGCAUUAAGCACUCCGCCUGGGGAGUACGAUCGCAAGAUUGAAACUCAAAGGAAUUGACGGGGGCCCGCACAAGCGGUGGAGCAUGUGGUUUAAUUCGAAGCAACGCGAAGAACCUUACCAGGUCUUGACAUACCAUGAAAAGCUAAGAGAUUAGUCUUUCCCUUCGGGGACAUGGAUACAGGUGGUGCAUGGUUGUCGUCAGCUCGUGUCGUGAGAUGUUGGGUUAAGUCCCGCAACGAGCGCAACCCUUAUUAUCAGUUGCCAGCAUUCAGUUGGGCACUCUGGUGAGACUGCCGGUGACAAACCGGAGGAAGGUGGGGACGACGUCAAAUCAUCAUGCCCCUUAUGACCUGGGCUACACACGUGCUACAAUGGUCGGUACAACG